rnacentral:lncRNA from 1 species
GAGAGAAUGCCUCGCCAGCACCCAUCGGGGAGGCUGGGCAAGUGAACCGCUUACCGUGGCGCAGGCUGCACCAUGCAAGUGUCCUGACAGAGGGGCUGCCGGGAGUGGGGAGGGAUGCUGUACCCCAAAGUGCUGCCAGGGGCUGUCUGCUGAUGGGACUCUCAGGAAGGAGCUGCGUGCAGUGAGCUUGGUGCUGGGACAGAGGCCGGCUGCGGCGGGCGCCCCGGUCCCCACGCUGAGUCCUGUGCACCUCACCAGAUGCAGCUGCUGCUGGUGAAGCGGGCGUCAGGCCUGCCACUCUACCUGCGCCUGGUCACCGAUCACCUGAGGCUCUUCACACUCUGUGAGCAGGUGUCUGAGAGACUUCGCGCCCUGCCUGCCACCGUGCCCCUGCUGCUGGAGCACACCCUGAGCACCCUGGAGCAGGAGCACGGCCACAACGUCCUUCCACAAGCCCUGGCCACCCUGGAAGUCAC